rnacentral:rRNA from 1 species
AACUGCGAAUGGCUCAUUAAAUCAGUUAUAGUUUAUUUGAUAGUACCUUUACUACUUGGACACUAACCGUGGUAAUUCUAGAGCUAAUACAUGCUAAAAACCCCGACUGUUUGGGAGGGGUGUAUUUAUUAGAUAAAAAAUCAAUGCUCUUCGGAGCCCUUUGAUGAUUCAUAAUAACUUUUCGAAUCGCAUGGCUUUUUGCCGGCGAUGGUUCAUUCAAAUUUCUGCCCUAUCAACUUUCGAUGGUAGGAUAGUGGCCUACCAUGGUGGCAACGGGUAACGGGGAAUAAGGGUUCGAUUCCGGAGAGGGAGCCUGAGAAACGGCUACCACAUCCAAGGAAGGCAGCAGGCGCGCAAAUUACCCAAUCCUAAUUCAGGGAGGUAGUGACAAUAAAUAACGAUACAGGGCCCAUUCGGGUCUUGUAAUUGGAAUGAGUACAAUGUAAAUACCUUAACGAGGAACAAUUGGAGGGCAAGUCUGGUGCCAGCAGCCGCGGUAAUUCCAGCUCCAAUAGCGUAUAUUAAAGUUGUUGCAGUUAAAAAGCUCGUAGUUGAACUUUGGGCCUGGCUGGCCGGUCCGCUUUCUUGCGUGCACUGGAUCCGCCGGGCCUUUCCUUCUGGAGCAGGGUGCCUUUCGGGGCAUUCCGCGCCAGGACUUUUACUUUGAAAAAAUUAGAGUGUUCAAAGCAGGCCUUUGCUCGAAUAUAUUAGCAUGGAAUAAUAGAAUAGGACGUUUGGUUCUAUUUUGUUGGUUUCUAGGACCAUCGUAAUGAUUAAUAGGGACGGUCGGGGGCAUCAGUAUUCAGUUGUCAGAGGUGAAAUUCUUGGAUUUACUGAAGACUAACUACUGCGAAAGCAUUUGCCAAGGACGUUUUCAUUAAUCAAGAACGAAAGUUAGGGGAUCGAAGAUGAUCAGAUACCGUCGUAGUCUUAACCAUAAACUAUGCCGACUAGGGAUCGGGUGUUGUUUUUUUAAUGACUCACUCGGCACCUUACGAGAA